AGUUAAUGAGCUUGUUAAAGCCUAUAUUUUGAAAAUAUAAGAAAGAGAUUUUAACCUCUAUUAACUU
rnacentral:tRNA from 1 species